rnacentral:rRNA from 1 species
UACGUAGGGGGCAAGCGUUGUUCGGAAUUACUGGGCGUAAAGGGCGCGUAGGCGGCACGGCAAGUCAGGAGUGAAAGCCCUGGGCUCAACCCGGGAACUGCUUUUGAAACUGCCGAGCUAGAGUGCGGAAGGGGCAACUGGAAUUCCCAGUGUAGCGGUGAAAUGCGUUGAUAUUGGGAAGAACACCUGAGGCGAAGGCGGGCUGCUGGGCCGACACUGACGCUGAGGCGCGAAAGCCAGGGGAGCGAACGGG